UACAGAGGUGGCAAGCGUUGUUCGGAAUUACUGGGCGUAAAGGGCGCGUAGGCGGUUCGUUAAGUCCUGUGUGAAAUCCCCCGGCUCAACUGGGGAACUGCACAGGAAACUGGCGGGCUUGAAUCCGGGAGAGGGAUGUGGAAUUCCAGGUGUAGCGGUGAAAUGCGUAGAUAUCUGGAGGAACACCGGUGGCGAAGGCGACAUCCUGGACCGGUAUUGACGCUGAGGCGCGAAAGCCAGGGGAGCAAACGGG
rnacentral:rRNA from 1 species